AACGAACGCUGGCGGCAUGCCUAACACAUGCAAGUCGAACGAGACCUUCGGGUCUAGUGGCGCACGGGUGCGUAACGCGUGGGAACCUGCCCUUAGGUUCGGAAUAACUCCCCGAAAGGGGUGCUAAUACCGGAUAAUGUCUUCGGACCAAAGAUUUAUCGCCUUUGGAUGGGCCCGCGUUGGAUUAGCUAGUUGGUAGGGUAAAAGCCUACCAAGGCGACGAUCCAUAGCUGGUCUGAGAGGAUGAUCAGCCACACUGGGACUGAGACACGGCCCAGACUCCUACGGGAGGCAGCAGUGGGGAAUAUUGGACAAUGGGCGAAAGCCUGACCCAGCAAUGCCGCGGGAGUGAUGAAGGCCUUAGGGUUGUAAAGCUCUUUUACCCGGGAUGAUAAUGACAGUACCGGGAGAAUAAGCUCCGGCUAACUCCGU
rnacentral:rRNA from 1 species